UAGGGAAUAUUGCUUAAUGGGCGAAAGCCUGAAGCAGCAACGCCGCGUGUGUGAAGAAGGCCUUCGGGUUGUAAAACACUUUUUGAGGGAAUGAGGAAGGACAGUACCCUAGAAUAAGCCUCGGCUAACUACGUGCCAGCAGCCGCGGUAAAACGUAGGAGGCGAGCGUUAUCCGGAUUUACUGGGCGUAAAGCGCGUGCAGGCGGCACGGCAAGUUGGAUGUGAAAGCUCCCGGCUUAACUGGGAGAGGUCGUUCAAAACUGCCGAGCUAGAGUGCGGGAGAGGGAGGUGGAAUUACGGGUGUAGUGGUGAAAUGCGUAGAUAUCCGGAGGAACACCAGUGGCGAAAGCGGCCUCCUGGUCCGCAACUGACGCUCAGACGCGAAAGCUAGGGUAGCAAACGG
rnacentral:rRNA from 1 species